rnacentral:rRNA from 1 species
UUAAGCGACUAAGCGUACACGGUGGAUGCCCUGGCAGUCAGAGGCGAUGAAGGACGUGCUAAUCUGCGAAAAGCGUCGGUAAGGUGGUAUGAACCGUUAUAACCGGCGAUGUCCGAAUGGGGAAACCCAGUGUGAUUCGUCACACUAUCGUUAACUGAAUACAUAGGUUAACGAGGCGAACCGGGGGAACUGAAACAUCUAAGUACCCCGAGGAAAAGAAAUCAACCGAGAUUCCCCCAGUAGCGGCGAGCGAACGGGGAGCAGCCCAGAGUCUGAAUCAGCUUGUGUGUUAGUGGAACGGUCUGGAAAGUCCGACGGUACAGGGUGAUAGUCCCGUACACCAAAAUGCACAGGCUGUGAACUCGAAGAGUAGGGCGGGACACGUGGUAUCCUGUCUGAAUAUGGGGGGACCAUCCUCCAAGGCUAAAUACUCCUGACUGACCGAUAGUGAACCAGUACCGUGAGGGAAAGGCGAAAAGAACCCCGGCGAGGGGAGUGAAAAAGAACCUGAAACCGUGUACGUACAAGCAGUGGGAGCACCUUUAUGGUGUGACUGCGUACCUUUUGUAUAAUGGGUCAGCGACUUAUAUUCUGUAGCAAGGUUAACCGUAUAGGGGAGCCGCAGGGAAACCGAGUCUUAACUGGGCGUUAAGUUGCAGGGUAUAGACCCGAAACCCGGUGAUCUAGCCAUGGGCAGGUUGAAGGUUGGGUAACACUAACUGGAGGACCGAACCGACUAAUGUUGAAAAAUUAGCGGAUGACUUGUGGCUGGGGGUGAAAGGCCAAUCAAACCGGGAGAUAGCUGGUUCUCCCCGAAAGCUAUUUAGGUAGCGCCUCGUGAACUCAUCUUCGGGGGUAGAGCACUGUUUCGGCUAGGGGGUCAUCCCGACUUACCAACCCGAUGCAAACUACGAAUACCGAAGAAUGUUAUCACGGGAGACACACGGCGGGUGCUAACGUCCGUCGUGAAGAGGGAAACAACCCAGACCGCCAGCUAAGGUCCCAAAGUCAUGGUUAAGUGGGAAACGAUGUGGGAAGGCACAGACAGCCAGGAUGUUGGCUUAGAAGCAGCCAUCAUUUAAAGAAAGCGUAAUAGCUCACUGGUCGAGUCGGCCUGCGCGGAAGAUGUAACGGGGCUAAACCAUGCACCGAAGCUGCGGCAGCGACACUAUGUGUUGUUGGGUAGGGGAGCGUUCUGUAAGCCUGCGAAGGUGACCUGUGAGGGUUGCUGGAGGUAUCAGAAGUGCGAAUGCUGACAUAAGUAACGAUAAAGCGGGUGAAAAGCCCGCUCGCCGGAAGACCAAGGGUUCCUGUCCAACGUUAAUCGGGGCAGGGUGAGUCGACCCCUAAGGCGAGGCCGAAAGGCGUAGUCGAUGGGAAACAGGUUAAUAUUCCUGUACUUGGUGUUACUGCGAAGGGGGGACGGAGAAGGCUAUGUUAGCCGGGCGACGGUUGUCCCGGUUUAAGCAUGUAGGCUGAUUAUCCAGGCAAAUCCGGAUAAUCAAGGCUGAGGUGUGAUGACGAGGCACUACGGUGCUGAAGUAACAAAUGCCCUGCUUCCAGGAAAAGCCUCUAAGCAUCAGGUAACAUCAAAUCGUACCCCAAACCGACACAGGUGGUCAGGUAGAGAAUACCAAGGCGCUUGAGAGAACUCGGGUGAAGGAACUAGGCAAAAUGGUGCCGUAACUUCGGGAGAAGGCACGCUGGUGUGUAGGUGAAGUCCCUGCGGAUGGAGCUGAGACCAGUCGAAGAUACCAGCUGGCUGCAACUGUUUAUUAAAAACACAGCACUGUGCAAACACGAAAGUGGACGUAUACGGUGUGACGCCUGCCCGGUGCCGGAAGGUUAAUUGAUGGGGUUAUCCGUAAGGAGAAGCUCUUGAUCGAAGCCCCGGUAAACGGCGGCCGUAACUAUAACGGUCCUAAGGUAGCGAAAUUCCUUGUCGGGUAAGUUCCGACCUGCACGAAUGGCGUAAUGAUGGCCAGGCUGUCUCCACCCGAGACUCAGUGAAAUUGAACUCGCUGUGAAGAUGCAGUGUACCCGCGGCAAGACGGAAAGACCCCGUGAACCUUUACUAUAGCUUGACACUGAACAUUGAGCCUUGAUGUGUAGGAUAGGUGGGAGGCUUUGAAGCGUGGACGCCAGUCUGCGUGGAGCCAACCUUGAAAUACCACCCUUUAAUGUUUGAUGUUCUAACGUUGGCCCCUUAUCGGGGUUGCGGACAGUGUCUGGUGGGUAGUUUGACUGGGGCGGUCUCCUCCCAAAGCGUAACGGAGGAGCACGAAGGUUAGCUAAUCCUGGUCGGACAUCAGGAGGUUAGUGCAAUGGCAUAAGCUAGCUUGACUGCGAGCGUGACGGCGCGAGCAGGUGCGAAAGCAGGUCAUAGUGAUCCGGUGGUUCUGAAUGGAAGGGCCAUCGCUCAACGGAUAAAAGGUACUCCGGGGAUAACAGGCUGAUACCGCCCAAGAGUUCAUAUCGACGGCGGUGUUUGGCACCUCGAUGUCGGCUCAUCACAUCCUGGGGCUGAAGUAGGUCCCAAGGGUAUGGCUGUUCGCCAUUUAAAGUGGUACGCGAGCUGGGUUUAGAACGUCGUGAGACAGUUCGGUCCCUAUCUGCCGUGGGCGCUGGAGAAUUGAGGGGGGCUGCUCCUAGUACGAGAGGACCGGAGUGGACGCAUCACUGGUGUUCGGGUUGUCAUGCCAAUGGCACUGCCCGGUAGCUAAAUGCGGAAGAGAUAAGUGCUGAAAGCAUCUAAGCACGAAACUUGCCCCGAGAUGAGUUCUCCCUGAGACUAUAAGUCUCCUGAAGGAACGUUGAAGACGACGACGUUGAUAGGCCGGGUGUGUAAGCGCAGCGAUGCGUUGAGCUAACCGGUACUAAUGAACCGUGAGGCUUAACCUU